GAUGAACGCUGGCGGCGUGCCUAAUACAUGCAAGUCGAGCGAACAGAUAAGGAGCUUGCUCCUUUGACGUUAGCGGCGGACGGGUGAGUAACACGUGGGUAACCUACCUAUAAGACUGGAAUAACUCCGGGAAACCGGGGCUAAUGCCGGAUAACAUUUAGAACCGCAUGGUUCUAAAGUGAAAGAUGGUUUUGCUAUCACUUAUAGAUGGACCCGCGCCGUAUUAGCUAGUUGGUAAGGUAACGGCUUACCAAGGCAACGAUACGUAGCCGACCUGAGAGGGUGAUCGCCACACUGGAACUGAGACACGGUCCAGACUCCUACGGGAGGCAGCAGUAGGGAAUCUUCCGCAAUGGGCGAAAGCCUGACGGAGCAACGCCGCGUGAGUGAUGAAGGUCUUCGGAUCGUAAAACUCUGUUAUUAGGGAAGAACAAAUGUGUAAGUAACUGUGCACGUCUUGACGGUACCUAAUCAGAAAGCCACGGCUAACUACGUG
rnacentral:rRNA from 1 species